GACGAACCGUGCGAACGUUAUUCGGAAUCACUGGGCUUAAAGCGCGUGUAGGCGGGAGGGCACGUCCGUUGCUGAAAUCCCCCGGCUCAACCGGGGAACGGGCGCGGAUACGACUCUCCUUGAGGGGCGUAGGGGGACCUGGAACUUCCGGUGGAGCGGUGAAAUGCGUUGAGAUCGGAAGGAACGCCCGUGGCGAAAGCGAGGUCCUGGACGCCUACUGACGCUGAGACGCGAAAGCCAGUGGAGCGAACGGG
rnacentral:rRNA from 1 species